rnacentral:lncRNA from 1 species
CAAACACCGACGAGAUACCGGUCUUUUCGUAGUCGGUACCACUCAUAAAUCAUGCUUCUGCUAACAUGCCCGUCGCAGAUAGAACUCCUCCCAGGACGAUGGUCCAAUCCUCCCCAAUCUGAGUAGUGGUUUCCUCUUGCUUCUCAACGCCUUCUCGUACGCGCGGGCAGCCGGUGGAACAGGAGGGGAAGCCGGACGGGGUCCGACCAUUUCGGGUGUAGAGACUAACGGAGGAAAGCAGUUCUGUCAGCACGGGGUUCUGUUUGCUGAAACUUUGCGCACGUAUUUCUCUCCUCUCGUUACGCACUCUACUGCAAGUACAAGCUAAUGUCUGAGUCGGGGAAUGCUGAGCACAGGAUUCUUCGUACGGGUCUUGAGGUUCUGGCUGCAGUGUAGAUGUGGACCCGCGGGUAACGUGGCGUACAGAACCACCCAUGAGAGAGUUUUACGACUCGUUCUGGGUGCCUGUUGCGAAGAACUCUAUUUCUUUUUUUGGUAAAAAGGCAACGUCCUUGUGUCCAUUGGAGGAAUAACUUAUGGGUUUUUGACAAACAGUUAGCAGCAUGUAUGGAAUGCCGCUGCUGUUACUGUUUCUCUUCGUGUGAACAGCGAGGGAAACCUAGUUCUCAGACGCGAAUAUUUAGGUCAUCGCCAUCGUCCUCGACGGCUCUUUCGGUAGACUUCUUCGGCGGAUAAUCCCGGUGAAUUGAGAACGAGUUCUCGACUUUGAGAGGCAUCCUCCCCGUACAAAAGUCGACAAAUUUAACCACACUUUUGGCGUGGGUUUGCAGACACCACCUUGCAUCUGCACUUCUGCAGCUCAGAUGAACCAAAACGAAGAGUCCUCCAAAUCAAGCACGUAGAAAGCGAAGCCUUGAGAGCACCCUUCGUCAGUCACACACUCUGGAGAAACUGGGCAGCAUUCCCGCGCGCCGACAACGCAGGUCGACUUGCUCCGCGACCGUCAAAAUCCCCAAAUCGACGCAAAGCAGAACUCCGGCAGCCAGGAGCCAUUUGCCUCUGAAACAAAAGUGGCAGAAGUGACGACCUCUGUGAAAAAACAAACAGGCUAGCUCUGUGUAACUCUGUGCUGGCAUCGGUCCCAGCGACACAAAGACACACGAAUUACCUCUGAUUCAUAAAGACAGACACGGUAGAGAUCGUGCUAGACUCGUUGUGGUCUAGAGCAGCUUCAGUUCUAGAAAAGGGUAUGUCUCUGGACAUUCCUUCAUCUGUCUGAAAAGUGCUCGUGCCGCGUCAUGCUUUCUCCGGUUUUUUUGGUAGCCUCGAGUGCAGGCUCACAGAAGAGACACUCCUACAACCGUCUAAUUUUUUUCUGGAAC